rnacentral:rRNA from 1 species
AACGAACGCUGGCGGCGUGCUUAACACAUGCAAGUCGAACGGUGAAGGGGAGCUUGCUCCCCGGAUCAGUGGCGAACGGGUGAGUAACACGUGGGCAACCUGCCCCAGACUUCGGGAUAACGCUUCGAAAGAGGUGCUAAUACCGGAUACGAACUCCUUGGGCAUCCUUGGGGUUGGAAAGUUUUUCGGUCUGGGAUGGGCCCGCGGCCUAUCAGCUUGCUGGUGAGGUAACGGCUCACCAAGGCGACGACGGGUGGCCGGCCUGAGAGGGCGACCGGCCACACUGGGACUGAGACACGGCCCAGACUCCUACGGGAGGCAGCAGUGGGGAAUAUUGCGCAAUGGGCGAAAGCCUGACGCAGCAACGCCGCGUGAGGGAUGACGGCCUUCGGGUUGUAAACCUCUUUCAGCAGGGAAGAAGCGAAAGUGACGGUACCUGCAGAAGAAGCACCGGCUAACUACGUGCCAGCAGCCGCAGUAACAC